rnacentral:rRNA from 1 species
UACGUAGGGUGCGAGCGUUGUCCGGAAUUACUGGGCGUAAAGCGCGCGUAGGCGGCCCGGUAAGUCCGCUGUAAAAGUCCAGGGCUCAACCUCGAAACGCCACUCGAUACUGCUGUGACUGGAGUCCGGUAGAGGAGUGCGGAAUUCCUGGUGUAGCGGUGAAAUGCGCAGAUAUCAGGAGGAACACCAACGGCGAAGGCAGCGCUCUGGGCCGGUACUGACGCUGAGGAGCGAAAGCCAGGGGAGCAAACGGG